rnacentral:rRNA from 1 species
AGUGAACGCUGGCGGUAGGCCUAACACAUGCAAGUCGAACGGCAGCACAGUAAGAGCUUGCUCUUACGGGUGGCGAGUGGCGGACGGGUGAGGAAUACAUCGGAAUCUACUUUUUCGUGGGGGAUAACGUAGGGAAACUUACGCUAAUACCGCAUACGACCUACGGGUGAAAGCAGGGGAUCUUCGGACCUUGCGCGAUUGAAUGAGCCGAUGUCGGAUUAGCUAGUUGGCGGGGUAAAGGCCCACCAAGGCGACGAUCCGUAGCUGGUCUGAGAGGAUGAUCAGCCACACUGGAACUGAGACACGGUCCAGACUCCCACGGGAGGCAGCAGUGGGGAAUAUUGGACAAUGGGCGGAAGCCUGAUCCAGCCAUACCGCGUGGGUGAAGAAGGCCUUCGGGUUGUAAAGCCCUUUUGUUGGGAAAGAAAAGCAGCAGGUUAAUACCCCGCUGUUCUGACGGUACCCAAAGAAUAAGCACCGGCUAACUUCGUG